rnacentral:rRNA from 1 species
CCUACGGGCGGCAGCAGUGGGGAAUAUUGCACAAUGGGCGCAAGCCUGAUGCAGCCAUGCCGCGUGUGUGAAGAAGGCCUUCGGGUUGUAAAGCACUUUCAGCGGGGAGGAAGGCGUUAAGGUUAAUAACCUUGUCGAUUGACGUUACCCGCAGAAGAAGCACCGGCUAACUCCGUGCCAGCAGCCGCGGUAAUACGGAGGGUGCAAGCGUUAAUCGGAAUUACUGGGCGUAAAGCGCACGCAGGCGGUCUGUCAAGUCGGAUGUGAAAUCCCCGGGCCCAACCUGGGAACUGCAUUCGAAACUGGCAGGCUAGAGUCUUGUAGAGGGGGGUAGAAUUCCAGGUGUAGCGGUGAAAUGCGUAGAGAUCUGGAGGAAUACCGGUGGCGAAGGCGGCCCCCUGGACAAAGACUGACGCUCAUGCACGAAAGCGUGGGGAGCAAACAGGAUUAGAUACCCCAGUAGUC